rnacentral:rRNA from 1 species
CCUACGGGUGGCUGCAGUGGGGAAUAUUGGACAAUGGGCGAAAGCCUGAUCCAGCCAUGCCGCGUGUGUGAAGAAGGCCUUCGGGUUGUAAAGCACUUUCAGUGGGGAAGAAAGCCUUGGGGCUAAUACCCUCGAGGAAGGACAUCACCCACAGAAGAAGCACCGGCUAACUCCGUGCCAGCAGCCGCGGUAAUACGGAGGGUGCGAGAGUUAAUCGGAAUUACUGGGCGUAAAGCGCGCGUAGGCGGUCUGAUAAGCCGGUUGUGAAAGCCCCGGGCUCAACCUGGGAACGGCAUCCGGAACUGUCAGGCUAGAGUGCAGGAGAGGAAGGUAGAAUUCCCGGUGUAGCGGUGAAAUGCGUAGAGAUCGGGAGGAAUACCAGUGGCGAAGGCGGCCUUCUGGACUGACACUGACGCUGAGGUGCGAAAGCGUGGGUAGCAAACAGGAUUAGAUACCCGAGUAGUC